UAUGACCCCACCUAUUGGGUAUUCAUGGAAAAACACACGUAGACUACUACUGUUCAGUUAUCGCUUGUUUAUCCUCCGGUUCUUAUCUGCCCUCAUAGAUAACACGUUUUUAAAAAUAGGACUAUGCAGUUUUUUUUUAUUAUUAUUAAAACUAGUUUUGAAACAAAACCCCUUUAGUCUCUCACGUAAAAGUACAAAAUCUGAAAUAUAACUAGCUGACAUAUGAUACAAGAAAACGUUGUCUAGGUUUAUGCUUAUCACUGUCUACAUGGUCCCGUAAUAAACUCGACAUUUCAAAGUACGAAGUUUGUUGCUAAAGCACAAGCUCACUUCGCACUUCCGCGGCUGUGCCCUCGAUAACACACGCCUUGGUGGGAAAGAAACGGGUGGUGUCGGGUCUACGGCUGUAGAUAUGACGGGUCAGCCUCACCGCGCGCGGUUUUCUCCGGUGGAAUGUACAGUCGAGCCGCAUGUGAGGGUACUUCAUGGCACAGCUGAUGCCCGGAGGGAUUAAAGGGAGGCAGCCAAACUAGAUGAGCAAGAUACAGUUAGCCUAUAAUGUCAACACAUGAUCUGAAGUUGCAGCAGUCAAGUUGUCAAAGCGGAGUGAAAGCCAGCGUGACUUGCUAUUUCCCAGAUCAGGAGAUAUUGUACACACAAACUGACAAAUCACGUUUUCAGAAUGUAAGUGAACAUGAGAAGUUACAUCCUGGACCACUGGCUCAACACAUCCACAACAAGAAAGAUUUAGAAACUAGAACUAUUGCAUCUUCACCAUCAUCGCAGUUAACAGGCCAGCUGAAAAGCAGCAGAGAUUUACAGAUCAGGCAAGUAAUACUUCUCAGAUCUAAGGAAGACUCCAGUAGGACAUCUGAAGAACAGAGGAAAUCUGCCAGAUUCACUUCCACCAUCUCUAUCAGUCUUCCUAAUAGAAGAAACAAAAAAGACACGGCGGUGGAAAAAACACUGCAUGCUACAACUAACCUUUACAGCACACAUGAAGCCGUAAAAAACACAGCUAAUCAAAACCACACAGAGCUAAGAGACGUGCUUUCACCAACUGAGCAAUGUGGUGAAUCAACUGGUGAAUUCUUUAAGAAUAGGGAUGGGCCAAAAGCAAGCUUUGAUGAAGACAGUUUUACCACUCUGCAUCAACAUGGACAUAACACACCAAAACAGGGACAAAAUACAGGAAUACAACACAACAUAGGCCUUCAUGAACAAACGCAAAUUGUCUACAACGGCUCACAAAGACAUUCUACUCAACCUGUUUGUAAGGUUCAAACAGAAUUCAACAAGGAAUCUGGAGCCAGCGACUGUAGAAAGAAUGCUGCAACAACUCCACAGUACCACAGUAAUCUGACCUCCUUUGAAGUGGACAAUGGUCUAAAAGCAAGCACUGAUUCCCAGUUUUUUGCACACCAUUCAGAAGUAGUAAACCAGGUCUUGCCAUUAGACUCAUUUCCUGCUCCUCAUUCUGAAAGUACCCCUGAGCCAGAACCUGGUCUUAACAAUCCUACAUCAACUAUGUUGACAUCAGCCCUGGUCUCAGUUCUUGCUCCACCUUGGAGUGGCCGUCUUCGAAGACCCAAGCAAGGCGGCAGCGAAGUACAGCAUGAACCCCAAGAUUGUGCACAGAAUGUCAACCCAUCUACCUUAUUUCGCCAGGAUCAGCACCAACAACCAUUUCUUCCUUCCCAGAGGCAACCAUCUGAACACAUGUUGGCCAAUGACAAUGACAUGCAGUUGACUGCAGGAACCAGCUGUAACUCUCCUGACUGGCAAAAAGAGAACAAUUCCCCAAACAUCACAACCACAAUACAGCCAAAGAGACCCAUUAUUAAAUCCUCCUCUGUGGGCAUGAUGUACAAUAAUACAGAUUUGCAUCCUUUUCCCACACCUCUGGACACUCAUCAGGUACCAAAUUUGGCCCAUUCAGGGUACAGAAUAUCAAAAACUGGAGAUGAACAUCAGCCUUUCAAAUCAUUGAGCUCUAAGCCAACAACAAGCACCCUACUUCUUUCCUUGAGGAGGUCAAAUUUGAGAAGCUCCAGUGCUGAGCCCACACAAUCACAGACUCCGAUGACUAGGUCUGUCAGGUCCCUUACAUUGCCUAGCAGAGUUGUUUUGAAAACUCCGUCAUUUGCCCAUUCUGUUACCGCUGAUGACCAAACCCCCAAAUACCCAGACACUCCUGCAAGAACAGAGGAAAUACCAGUCAGUCAGUUCCCUUUCUCACAUGGAAUUAAGAGUAGAGUGCCAUUAAGGAAAUCACUGUUUCUAAACAAACCAGAGACGGCAAUUUCAAAGAGACUAGAAGCUUCUGUUGCCAGAGUAGAGGAGGAACGUUUCCCAAUGUCCACAACCAAAACCGGCCAACUUGGGGUUCUCAGAGCUCAACAGAGCUCUUAUUCAGUGUUUUCGAGGAAAUAUUCCAGUACAGAGGACAUAGAUCUAGUGGAACUAAAUGCUGCCAACAACAACAACCUGCAAAACUCCAGUAUGACCAGACAAAAAGUAACUCCAGAUACCACAUUUUCUCCCAAAGUUUUAACAAAUUUUAAUGUUCAACAAUCUGGCUUUAAUGUUCAAAAAUUUAAAUCACAAAGUACACACAAUAUAAUAGCCAGUAGUUCAUCAGGCACAAGCACCUUCACAGACAGGCUUAACUACUCACCAAGGAAAGACUCUUCUGUAGAUGGAACAAGUCCCACAAAUGUGGGGCAGAUAUAUCUGGACUCUAAGAAAUAUUCUCAGUCAAGUCAAAGCACAAUGGAUCUUUCGAGCCUUCUUUCUCCAAGCAGACCUCUCAGAAGUGUAAGAGUACCAAGCAUUUAUUCAUACCUACGGGAGUCCAGCUCGGCUAUGUCCACCCCUUUCCCUUCUACCCCUUCUUCCCACAUACAGAGAGGUGAAACAUUGCCUCCUGAGCAAAAUGGAGGUGUAACACUACAGGGUGACCGGAAAACACUUCCUUCAAGAUUUUCAUUUGACUUUGUACCACAGGUAGAAGCAUUACAAAGAAGCUCUUAUGGCUCCAGCUCUCAUAUAGCACCAGCUCAAUCUCUGCCUCCUGAUUUUGGACGAAGAUCAGCACCUCGUCUCAGCACUUCUCCAUAUUCUAGCCUCAUCUCCUCACGACCUACACUCAACAACACUUUACAAGAACUAUCCUCUCCACCUGUGUCCAAAACUCAUACCCGAACUACAUCUUAUGAUAUUGUAACCACUCCUGCAGACUUCAUUAAAGUUGAUCCAAUCUCUUCACUGUCCACAUACACAAGUAUAAUAAGAAGACCAAAGGAACAGUUAGCUUCUCCUAACAGAAAACAGAGGACAGCAGUUCAAGAUCAUACAAGCGCCCUAGAUAAUCACAAACCUGCCCAGCCAUGCCUCUUACAAGCUGCACCAGAUGCAAGUUUUUUCAUGGAAAGCCAAAGCUCAAAUAUAAGCCCACACCCAAGGCAGCCCAGCACAGGCUCUAACAACUUCUGUCAUCAGGAGCAUGAUGGCUUGAUGGAACUUCAGCUUGAUAAGGGUAAUGCUUACCCCAAGCACAGGCUGAGUGAGAACGAGAAGUAUUUAAUACCUGAUAAGCGCACAGUAGAAAAUAAGACUCCACUGAUAGCUGAGAGAGAGAUUCCCACUGUGCAUAGGCAUGAGAGACUGCAGGAAAUGCAAAGUUUCAAUUCAAAAAAAGGCCUCUUUAGUUCACGAGUUAAGAAAGACAAAGAAGCUGUCUGCUCUUCAGCUUCUAUGCCAGACAAAGAGGUUGUUAAUCCCCAGUAUUUAAAAACCAAAAGACAUUCAACAGUGUUUAAAACCAUCAGCAGGGUUGACCAGAUGUUAAAUCGCUUGAAACUGACAUUUGGUGUCAAACGUUCAGACAGCUCACUUGAUGCACUAUCGAAAAAGAACAAGAGUCCCACUCGGCAACUCUCAGAUACUAAGACUUUUGAAAGUCCCAAGACAGAGGACAAAACAUGUUCUGAGAGCCACCCGGAACCUUCUAACUACUCUUUAACAACUGAUAAAACCACUUUAAAUUCCUUGUCACUACUAACAUUAAAAGAAUCUGAGAAUACAUUAAAUGUGGAUGAACAAAAUAAGUCUAUGGCUGAAAUAAAUUAUUCUGGGAGUACACGGGAGGCCCCCAACUCAUUCUUGACCACUGAUAAAGCCUCUUUUGCAUCUUUGUCACCACUUACAUUAAAGAAAUCUGGGAAUACUCAAAAUAUGAAAUAGCAAAACAGAUCUACAACUGAACAAAAGGGAUCUGGGUGCACAUGGGAGGCCCCCAGCUCAUCUUUUACCACUGAUAAAGCCUCUUUUGCAUCUUUGUCACCACGUACAUUAAAGAAAUCUGAGAAUACCUGAAAUAAGGAUUGGCAAAAUAGAUCUACAACUGAACAAAAGGGUUCUGGGUGCACAUGGGAGGCCCCCAACUCAUCUUUUACCACCGAUAAAGCAUCUUUUGACUCUUUUGGGUCUUUGUCGCCACUUACAUUAAAGAAAUCUGAGAAUUCUUUAAAUAUGGACUGGCAAAACAGAUCUACAACUGAACAAAAGAGUUCUGGGUGCACAUGGGAGGAACCCAACUCAUCUUCGACCACUGAUAAAGCACCUUUGGCUUCUUUUGAGUCCUUGUCACCGUUAACAUUAAAUAAAUCAUCUGAGAAUAAAUUAAAUGUUCA
ensembl:lncRNA